ACCUCGAUGGUAUAGUGACAGUACGCGCCCUCCGUAUGGGUGAAACACAGGUUCAACUCCAGUCUGAGGUA